UACGUAGGGUGCGAGCGUUGUCCGGAAUUACUGGGCGUAAAGGGCGCGUAGGUGGCGACCCAAGUCGAUGGUGAAAGCUCGCCGCUCAACGGCGAGUCGGCCACUGAUACUGGGUUGCUGGAGCACUGUAGAGGCAGAUGGAAUUCCGGGUGUAGCGGUGGAAUGCGUAGAGAUCCGGAAGAACACCGGUGGCGAAGGCGGUCUGCUGGGCAGUUGCUGACACUGAGGCGCGACAGCGUGGGGAGCAAACAGG
rnacentral:rRNA from 1 species